UGGCUCAUUAUAUAAGUUAUCGUUUAUUUGAUAGUACCUUACUACUUGGAUAACCGUGGUAAUUCUAGAGCUAAUACAUGCUAAAAAUCCCGACUUCGGAAGGGAUGUAUUUAUUAGAUUAAAAACCAAUGCCCUUCGGGGCUCACUGGUGAUUCAUGAUAACUCCUCGAAUCGCAUGGCCUUGUGCCGGCGAUGGUUCAUUCAAAUUUCUUCCCUAUCAACUUUCGAUGUUUGGGUAUUGGCCAAACAUGGUUGCAACGGGUAACGGAGGGUUAGGGCUCGACCCCGGAGAAGGAGCCUGAGAAACGGCUACUACAUCCAAGGAAGGCAGCAGGCGCGCAAAUUACCCAAUCCCGACACGGGGAGGUAGUGACAAUAAAUACUGAUACAGGGCUCUUUUGGGUCUUGUAAUUGGAAUGAGUACAAUUUAAAUCCCUUAACGAGGAACAAUUGGAGGGCAAGUCUGGUGCCAGCAGCCGCGGUAAUUCCAGCUCCAAUAGCGUAUAUUAAAGUUGUUGUGGUUAAAAAGCUCGUAGUUGAACCUUGGGCCUGGCUGGCCGGUCCGCCUCACCGCGUGUACUGGUCCGGCCGGGCCUUUCCCUCUGUGGAACCCCAUGCCCUUCACUGGGUGUGGCGGGGAAACAGGACUUUUACUGUGAAAAAAUUAGAGUGCUCCAGGCAGGCCUAUGCUCGAAUACAUUAGCAUGGAAUAAUAGAAUAGGACGUGUGGUUCUAUUUUGUUGGUUUCUAGGACCGCCGUAAUGAUUAAUAGGGACAGUCGGGGGCAUCAGUAUUCAAUUGUCAGAGGUGAAAUUCUUGGAUUUAUUGAAGACUAACUACUGCGAAAGCAUUUGCCAAGGAUGUUUUCAUUAAUCAGGAACGAAAGUUAGGGGAUCGAAGACGAUCAGAUACCGUCGUAGUCUUAACCAUAAACUAUGCCGACUAGGGAUCGGACGGUGUUAUUUUUUGACCCGUUCGGCACCUUACGA
rnacentral:rRNA from 1 species